rnacentral:rRNA from 1 species
AUUGAACGCUGGCGGCAUGCUUUACACAUGCAAGUCGAACGGUAACAGGGUGCUUGCACCGCUGACGAGUGGCGAACGGGUGAGUAAUGCGUCGGAACGUGCCGAGUAGUGGGGGAUAACGCAGCGAAAGUUGUGCUAAUACCGCAUACGUACUGAGGUAGAAAGUGGGGGACCUUCGGGCCUCACGCUAUUCGAGCGGCCGACGUCUGAUUAGCUAGUAGGUGAGGUAAAGGCUCACCUAGGCGACGAUCAGUAGCGGGUCUGAGAGGAUGCGCCGCCACACUGGGACUGAGACACGGCCCAGACUCCUACGGGAGGCAGCAGUGGGGAAUUUUGGACAAUGGGCGCAAGCCUGAUCCAGCAAUGCCGCGUGCAGGAUGAAGGCCUUCGGGUUGUAAACUGCUUUUGUACGGAGCGAAAAGGCUCUCUCUAAUACAGGGGGCUCAUGACGGUACCGUAAGAAUAAGCACCGGCUAACUACGUGCCAGCCGCCGCCGUAAAAC